rnacentral:lncRNA from 12 species
CCCACUGACCAUCAAAUUCAAUGUGAAGUCGUGAAGACCAAACACUGCUGUAAUAUUUCAGAGUAUCAUUUGAUGAAAUUGUCUGAAUUUUCAACUGUCUACAGAGAGCCUUCUGGGUACCAGGAACAGCCCUUUUGUGAGACAACACUGAAACAUUUCCAAAAGAGAGACAAGGCAUUUAGGUUCUCAGAAAGCCCAAAUCAACAACCAGAAGGUUGCCUGGUGAGCAGAGAAUUAGAGCCAAGAGCAGUGGAUGUUUUUUGAGUGUGACUCCAUUCACAUUAUGGUAAGACCCAGAGCAGAUGCCUCCUGACCAGAAUGCUACUGUCCUCUAGAACCAAUAUUUAGUAGGUUUUGAAAUUCCUUUUUAUCUUUUAUCAUGGCGC